AGUACGUACGAACGAGGUAUGCAAGUGGCAGAAAUUGCAAGAUCUUGUAAGAAGCCUACUUCUGCAUCUCGUCUGCAGAGGAGGAGGAGAAAAAGACAGAGAAAUCCCUCAUUUCAGGGGAGAUUAGGGACGAGUGUAAAAUGUGGGAAACAGUGCAAGGUUUUGUAGAAAACACCACCCAAAUGAGGCUGUAGCAGUGUGAGCGAUGAAUCUGUUUAAUGACAAUGCGAGGUCACAUUUCUGCGAAAUACUCAAAAGGAGGCCAAAGCAAGUGCCACUGGAUAGAUUCCUUGUUAAAGUUGCAUGAAAAGAAAGAUUCCACUGAGCCAAUAGAUAGCAGCGAUUCCGUUAGUGAAAGUGAAAGUUGUCCCGCAUGAUAACCCUCCUCUCUCUUGCCUCCCUCACACCAGCCACGAAGGUUUUCAAAGUAAUAUGUGACCCAGUCUGGCGAAUGAAAUAGAAAAUAUACUGGAAAGCUUUUGGGGAAAAUCUCCUCCAUGAAAACAAGAACCUUUGUGAAGAAAAAUGCCCAGUCCCAUGAUUUGCUUGCCCUUGGACCCCCCUCUCCCACCGCAGUCUUGCCUCUGAAUGUACCUGCUUCAAGUAUGUGAUACUUGGGACGGUUGCAGGCCACUGGGCAGUCAUGAGAUCACACGAAUCUUUGAAAUGCUAAUGAUGAGCGCUAAUAUCACUGGCCACUAAAUCAACACUAGUAGCCAUUAUGUACUUGCAGACUUCUUGUUAUUGCAGAACAAUAAACAACUGAAUGUAGGC